AGUAGAAUUGCUGGGUCAAAUGGUAAUUCUAUGUUUAGGUUUGACAGACUAUUUUCCAUAGUAGAUAUACCAUUUACAUUCCCACCAGCAAU
rnacentral:pre_miRNA from 1 species